UCAACAUGUCUUUGCAUACAUCAUUUUAAAGGUGAACGUUUCACAUCAUCCAACAACAAGUCGUCAUAGAUUGCAUUUUAUUUACUCCCCUCUACAUUUAAUGCAAAAAUAGAUCUCUACUUACAUACUUUGUUAGACGGUUCAAAGUCGUAUAUAUUUUAAUAGAAAGAGUGAAAACAAUCUUUAUUUAAGAACGAUUUCAUUUUUAAAUAAACGUAUUAUUAGAUUGUGUUUAAUUCAAGAUCUUUUGUGUUAAUUUUCAUCGUCUAAAGAAGUUUCAAUAAAUUAUAUAUAUAAAAGAUUUUAAUCUAAAAAUAGAUCCUGAUGCUGUUUAUUUCAUUAAUUCUUCUGACAGUACUUUUCGUUAGAAUCAUUGAUCCUUUGGAAAGUGGUGGCGUCGAUUAUAAUGAAAUAAAAUCUGAUUUAUCCUCAAAAAACGCUUCUGGAAAUGUAACUGACACUAAGACCAUAGAGGAUAUGAUUAAAUUAAUUUUCUACGGGACUCCUGAACAAGAUGACGGUAUAGAGAAAGGUGUAGAAACAAAAUUUGGAAAUUUAACUGAAACUGUUGAUUUAGACUAUAUCAUAAAAGCUAUAUUUAUUGAUGAAGAAAUUAACUCCGAAACUUCAGUUAACACUUCUUCAGUGCAGUAAUAAUAAAAAAGAUUUCGUAAGUUGUCCAAAACGUAGUAUUACAGAAGAAGUGAAACUUCAAGUGAUUGUUAAACGUAGAUUUUAAGUAUAAUGUAGUAAAAAAGCUUAUAAAUAUAAUAAUUUUAAUA